rnacentral:rRNA from 1 species
GUCUUUUUGAAAUAAUUUAAAGUCUAAUCUGCCCACUGAUAAUUAUUAUUAAAGGGCUGCAGUAUUUUGACUGUACAAAGGUAGCAUAAUCAUUAGUCUCUUAAUUGGUGACUUGUAUGAAUGAUUGGAUGAAAUAUAAGCUGUUUCUUAUUUAUUUAUAAAAUUUAAUUUUUUCAUUAAAAAGUGAAAAUAAAUUUAAAAGACGAGAAGACCCCAUAGAGUUUUAUAUAUAAAAUAAUUUAAUAAUUAUAUUUAAGAAAAUUAAUUAAGAUUAUUUAUUAUAUUUUAUUGGGGUGAUAAAAAAAUUAAAAAAACUUUUUUAUAAUUUUUCCAUAAAUAAGUGAGUAGAUGAUCCAUUAUUAUUGAUUAAAAGAAAAAAUUACCUUGGGGAUAACAGCGUAAUUUUUUCUUUUAGUUCAAAUAGGAGAAAGAGUUUGCGACCUCGAUGUUGGAUUAAGAUAAAAUUUAAAUGCAAAAGUUUAAAAUUUUGAUCUGUUCGAUCAUUAAAAUCUUACAUGAUCUGAGUUCAAACCGGUGUAAGCCAGGUUGGUUUCUAUCUUUAAAUAAAUUAAAUAUUUUAGUACGAAAGGAUUGAAUAUUUAAAAUAAUUUUUAAUUUUAGAAUUUUAUUAAUUUAUAAUUAUAAAAUUAAAAUUUUUAUUUUUAUUAGUAUAU